AUUCCAAUUAGGAGAGGCUUACCCCCUUGGACCAGAGCCUGUCUAUGGAGAGCCUGUUCACUUCCUAUCUCACUCCCUAUUAAGCCCCAUUGUACCAACCCGGAAGUUUCCCGAGAGUGGAAGUUCUCCCCUUAUUAGACAUUCUCUGAGAUUUGGAGGAGUCGUGAUAUUUUGAGA